UACGGAGGGGGCUAGCGUUGUUCGGAAUUACUGGGCGAAAGCGCACGUAGGCGGAUCAGCAAGUUAGGGGUGAAAUCCCGGGGCUCAACCCCGGAACUGCCUUUAAAACUGUUGGUCUGGAGGUCGAGAGAGGUGAGUGGAAUUCCCGAGUGUAGAGGUGAAAAUUCGUAGAUAUUCGGAGGAACACCAGUGGCGAAGGCGGCUCACUGGCUCGAUACUGACGCUGAGGUGCGAAAGCGUGGGGAGCAAACAGG
rnacentral:rRNA from 1 species